rnacentral:rRNA from 1 species
GUAACACGUAGUCAACCUGCCCUGGAGACAUGGACAACCCCGGGAAACUGGGUUUAAUCCGUGAUAGGUCAUCUCAUCUGGAAGGAGAGAUGGCUUAAAGGGAUGCGCGGGCUUCUUCUGCGUAUUUGCUCCAGGAUGGGACUGCGUCCGAUCAGGCUGUUGGCGGGGUAAUGGCCCACCAAGCCAGUAACCGGUACGGGCCUUGAGAGAGGUGGCCCGGAGAUGGACACUGAGAGAAGGGUCCAGGUCCUACGGGGCGCAGCAGGCGCGAAACCUUCGCAAUGCGCGCAAGCGUGACGAGGUUAAUCCGAGUGAUUUCCGCUGAGGAGACCUUUUGUCUGCUGUAAAUAGGCAGGCGAAUAAGGGGAGGGCAAGCCUGGUGUCAGCCGCCGCGGUAAUACCAGCUCCUCGAGUGGUCGGGGCGAUUAUUGGGCCUAAAGCAUCCGUAGCCGGUUCCGUAGGUCCUCUGUUAAAUCCAACCGCCCAACGGUUGACCUGCAGAGGAUACCGCGAGACU